rnacentral:rRNA from 1 species
GAUGAACGCUGGCGGCGUGCUUAACACAUGCAAGUCGAACGAGAAGUGGAGACGGAAACCUUCGGGCGGAAGACUUUACUUCGAGUGGCGGACGGGUGAGUAACGCGUGGGUAACCUGCCUCAUACAGGGGGAUAACAGUUGGAAACGACUGUUAAUACCGCAUAAGACCACAGCACCGCAUGGUGCGGGGGUAAAAACUCCGGUGGUAUGAGAUGGACCCGCGUUCGAUUAGCCAGUUGGCGGGGUAACGGCCCACCAAAGCGACGAUCGAUAGCCGAUCUGAGAGGAUGACCGGCCACAUUGGGACUGAGACACGGCCCAAACUCCUACGGGAGGCAGCAGUGGGGAAUAUUGCACAAUGGGGGAAACCCUGAUGCAGCGACGCCGCGUGAGUGAAGAAGUAUUUCGGUAUGUAAAGCUCUAUCAGCAGGGAAGAAAAUGACGGACCUGAUAAGAGC